rnacentral:rRNA from 1 species
GAUGAACGCUGACAGAAUGCUUAACACAUGCAAGUCUUUGGCGAAGCUGUGCUUGCACAGCCUAGCCAAGGCGGACGGGUGAGUAACGCGUCAGGAACUUGCUCUGCAGUCAGGGAUAACAGACGGAAACGACUGAGAAGACUUGGUAAAGUCAGCCGGACUCAUGUCCAGCGUGAUGAAAAGAGAUGCUGCAGGAGAGCCUUGCGUCCUAUUAGCUUGUUGGUGGUGUAACGGCCCACCAAGGCGAUGAUAGGUAGCCGGCCUGAGAGGGUGGACGGCCACAAGGGGACUGAGCUACGGCCCUUACUCCUGCGGGAGGCAGCAGUGGGGAAUAUUGGACAGUGGGGGCAACCCUGAUCCAACGAUUCGGUGUGGACGAUGAAGGUUUUCGGAUUGUAAGGUGCUUUCAGCAGGGAAGAGAAAGUGACGGUACCUGCAGAAGAAGCGACGGCUAACUACGUG